CCAAUAGCGUAUAUUAAAGUUGUUGCAGUUAAAAAGCUCGUAGUUGAAUUUCGGGAUUGGCGCAUCGGUCGUGCCUCACGGGGUAUGGACUGGUGCAGUCAAUUUCUCACCUUCUGGAGAACCGCGAUGUCCUUAAUUGGGUGCCGCGGGGAACCAGGACCUUUACUUUGAAAAAAUUAGAGUGUUUAAAGCAGGCAUUUUUGCUUGAAUACAUUAGCAUGGAAUAAUAAAAUAGGACGGCAUGGUUCUAUUUUGUUGGUUUCUAGGACCACCGUAAUGAUUAAUAGGGAUAGUUGGGGGCAUUAGUAUUCAAUUGUCAGAGGUGAAAUUCUUGGAUUUAUUGAAGACUAACUACUGCGAAAGCAUUUGCCAAGGAUGUUUUCAUUAAUCAAGAACGAAAGUUAGGGGAUCGAAGACGAUCAGAUACCGUCGUAGUCUUAACCAUAAACUAUUCCGACUAGGAAUCAGACGAUGUUAAUUUUUUAAUGACUCGUUUGGCACCUUACG
rnacentral:rRNA from 1 species